rnacentral:ncRNA from 1 species
GGCCGGGAGUGGGCUAAUACAAGACCUGUUCGCAGGGAAUACGCCCGCCGUUCGUUGACGGUUCUUAGCUCCCGGCCUUUUUUGC